rnacentral:rRNA from 1 species
CCUACGGGAGGCAGCAGUGAGGAAUAUUGGUCAAUGGGCGUAAGCCUGAACCAGCCAAGUCGCGUGAGGGAUGAAGGUUCUAUGGAUCGUAAACCUCUUUUAUAAGGGAAUAAAGUGUGGGACGUGUCCUAUUUUGUAUGUACCUUAUGAAUAAGGAUCGGCUCAAUCCGUGCCAGCUGCCGCGGUAAUACGGAGGAUCCGAGCGUUAUCAGGAUUUAUUGGGUUUAACGGGUGCGUAGGCGGCCUUUUAAGUCAGCGGUGAAAGUCUGUGGCUAAACCAUAGAAUUGUCGUUGAAACUGGGGGGCUUGAGUAUGUUUGAGGCAGGGGGAACGCGUGGUGUAGGGGUGAAAUGCUUAGAUAUCACGCAGAACCCCGAUUGCGAAGGCAGCCUGCCAAGCCAUGACUGACGCUGAUGCACGAAAGCGUGGGGAUCAAACAGGAUUAGAUACCCUGGUAGUC